AUUGAACGCUGGCGGCAUGCCUUACACAUGCAAGUCGAACGGCAGCACGGGUGCUUGCACCUGGUGGCGAGUGGCGAACGGGUGAGUAAUACAUCGGAACGUACCUUAUCGUGGGGGAUAACGCAGCGAAAGCUGUGCUAAUACCGCCAACGCCCUGAGGGGGAAAGCGGGGGAGCGCAAGACCUCGCGCGAUUAGAGCGGCCGAUGCCUGAUUAGGUUGUUGGUGGGGUAAAAGCCCACCACGGCGAGAAUCAGUACCUGGUCUGAGAGAACAAUCAGCCACACUGGGACUGAGACACGGCCCAGCCUCCUACGGGAGGCAGCAGUGGGGAAUUUUGGACAAUGGGGGCAACCCUGAUCCAGCAAUGCCGCGUGGGUGAAGAAGGCCUUCGGGUUGUAAAGCUCUUUUGUAAGGGAAGAAACACCGGCUCUAACACAGUCCGGGAAUGACGGUACCUAAAGAAUAAGCACCGGCUAACUACGUGCCAGCAGCCGCCGUAA
rnacentral:rRNA from 1 species